rnacentral:lncRNA from 1 species
AGGAUGGAAAGUCCCUAUGACUAGCAAAUUCCUUUGUUCUGGCCUGAUGCCUUUGCCACGUCAGCCAUCAGCAGUUUGAAAUGGCUGUGCUCUCUUCUCAGAGACUGAACUGUUCUGGACAUCUCAACUGAAACAAAGCCUAGGAGGAAUAAAAGGGUUUUGGAUGGAAUACAUUAUAAUGAAAGGUUUGAUGCUAAGUGUUAUGUCUACUUCACUUCACUUUGUGCCUGCUGUUGCCUAACCUUUCAUUUCCAGACAUAUGGACUGAACAUUAACAAGGCAAGGAGACAAACAAAAUCCCUGCGCUGUAUGUAUAGAGAGUAAUGAUAAUCAGCCUUGUUCCUUUCAAACUUCAGAUUUAAAUGUAGAACAAUGCUAUUUCAGUGUACUGUAAAUCUGAUAAGUGUUUGACCAAUUAAAAGGUAAAAAGUUCAGGGGGUGUGGAAGAU